ACUUCCGGUUGUCCUGGCAGCUGUCGCUACCGCUGUUGCUGCUCCUGCUCCUGCCACCUGCCAGGCCGGGCCUCAGUUCAGGGUUUGGUCACGUCUUCGUUCUCCACUGCGCCCAUGGUUCCUCCUGGAGCCAGGGCGGCGGGCCCGGCGGCUCCCGCGUGGUGAGAGGGCAGUCCGGGGACGAUGAAGGUCCCGCACUGCAGUUGCUGUCUCAGCCACCUCUUGGCUUCCGCCCUCCUGCUGCUGCUAUUGCUGCCAGGUUUGGGAGGGCCUUUGACUUUGCUGUUGCAGGCGGCCGAGGCCGCACCGGACCCUGGGCCUCCGGACCGUGGGCCGCGGACCCUGCCGCCCCUGCCUCCCGGCCCCACUGCCGCCCAGUUGCCGGGCGGCGCCCCCGCACAAGCCGCAGGGCCGCGGGGCGCUGAGGGCGGCAAUGGCAGUAGCCCCCGGGCGGGGCUCUCAGCAGAAGACUCCGGAGGGAAGGCGGGGGAAGAAGACUCAGUGGGUGGGAGCCUUGCUGUGAGCCCCAACCCCGGCGACAAGCCUAUGACCCAGCGGGCCCUGACCGUGUUGAUGGUGGUGAGCGGCGCGGUGCUGGUGUACUUCGUCGUCAGGACAGUCAGGAUGAGAAGAAGAAACCGAAAGACUAGGAGAUAUGGAGUUUUGGACACUAACAUAGAAAACAUGGAGUUGACACCUUUAGAACAAGAUGAUGAGGAUGAUGAUAACACUUUGUUUGAUGCCAAUCAUCCUCGAAGAAAUGAAUGAUGGAGCAGCUAUUUAUAUAGCAACUGUUGAAUGUCUGGCAUUGAUCUGGCCACUUGGGAUACACUACAGCCACAAAACAGAAAAGAAAAAGAAAAACAUCCUGACUUUGUGAAGCUUAACUUCUAGUUGUGAAAAGAUUUUAUCCACAGAAUAACAGGAAGCAAGUUAUUUCCAGAGAGGCAAAUGAAUUUCCUUGCUUAUAAUUUUAUCACAGCAUAAAACCAUCCUUUUGUAGUCAGCUCUUUCUGAGAGGAAUGUUUUUAUUGUUGUUUUUAAUACAUCAGAAUUUUAAUGAUUGUUGUUGGUAGUUAGGAUUUGGGGUAAUUAUUUUCACUGUUUCUUUGUAUUAGAGGGAACCAUAUGAACCUGCCAAUAUAUGGUUUUAUCUAAAUUUCAAGGAAAUGUAUUAUUUCAUGUAAUAGUAUGCCACAGAUAGGACCGACUCCAAACAGUGCGUCAAGGCUCUGUCUCCUUUUCUUUGGGAUUCCCUUGGUUCUGCACACCAUGUGUUGUCUUCUAUUUUAGGCUGAUAAUAGGAUGAUGCCAGCAGUUCCUAUAAUCAUACCUAGAAUGGUAACUUUCAGUGGAAGAUAGGGACUUGCUCUCUUGUGUACCUUCCUUAGGAAUGAGAAAAAUUUCCCCAGAAACUUUAAACAGAGCUGGGCUUUUUUGUUUGUUUGUUUUUGCUUUCCAUAUCAUUGGUCAUGUGGCCAUUUCUAAAUUAAACCCUGGGAAGAAAAAUGGAAGUACCAUGAUUAGCUCAGAAUUAUCAUUUGUGUUUGAAUAAAUACUGAGAAGUUAACCACCAUUACCACUAUAUCUAGUAUUUUAAGCACUGAGGUUAAUGCAAUCAAAUUGGGAAAAUGUACAAAUGUGAAAAAAAAUAACUUGAGCAAUUUGGUUAAUAAAAUUUCUCUUAAAUUUGCUAUUGACAUCCUAAUUUUGUAUUUUAGGGGUAAUUUCUUAUGUUUGGUUACUGAAACAUUUUGCACAAAGAUUUUAUAAAACAAAAAGACAAACGUCAACUCUAACUUUUUUUGGGUGUUUCAGCCCUCUUCGAUAGAAAAACUGAUGAGGAAUUAGAUAGCAUAUACUGACUAAAAACUACCUUAAUUUUCUCAAAGAAAAAUAUUGGAAACAAAUACUCAUAACCAGUCCCUAAAACAGUUUAAAACAGUGCUUUAUGACACAAAACCACAAAUGGGAACAAUACUCUUGCUAUUCUGUUUGAUUUCUACUGAACCGUAAAAUUAUUAGUAUUUUAUGAUGAUGUACACUUUAAGACAUUUUAACAGUCUUGCUAGCAGCUUCUAAAAGCUGACACUUACAGCAUCACUUCAAGGCUAUUGUAGUAAUUUUUGUCAAGAAUGUAAUUUUUAAAACCUAAACUUGCUUUUUAGCUACUUUUGUUCUGCUUCAUUAAAUUUAAUAUUGUAUGUCUUCAUUACAUUUGUGCUCAAUGUUACUUGACCACAGAAUAUUUUCUGGUUAUUAACAUCAGCAUAUCAGAAUUAGAAAGCAGAUUUGAUAUAAAUAUUUAACCAGAAACACUCAUUAAAAAGAUCUUAUUCAAACAGUUUCCAAUUUGAAAAUAGUUCUAAUUUCUAAAACACUACUUUCAAUGUGAAACUUAACAAUAUUAUCAGAAUAAACACUAAGGUUAUUCAAAAUAAAUAGAAUGUAGGAAUGUGUCAAUUACUAAUGUUUAUGUUAGAUAAAAAUUGGUAUUUUAGGAUGUGUAGUGGUGUGUUACUAGUAGGAUCAUCUGUACUUUUUUGCUUGAAGUGUAUUAUCCUGUAUUUGUCAUUACUGGAAUGAUAGAAGUAAUAAGUAAUAAAAGGUAGUGAAGAACCUUCAUGUUGUUCUUUUUUUGGUAUGUUUUACUUUUCUGUGGCCUUAGAAGAAAAUUUGCCUUCCUCCAUUAAUAAUUAGACAUCACACACAAUAUGCUUAUUAGUUAAGAACAUGAAUCAUGGGGUGCCUGGGUGGCUCAGUCAUUAAGCGUCUGCCUUCAGCUCAGGUCAUGAUCCCAGGGUCCUGGGAUCG